UCAUGGUGGGCACUCUAAGGAGACUGCCGGUGACAAACCGGAGGAAGGUGGGGAUGACGUCAAGUCAUCAUGGCCCUUACGGCCAGGGCUACACACGUGCUACAAUGGUCGGUACAGAGGGUUGCCAAGUCGCGAGGCGGAGCUAAUCCCAGAAAACCGAUCGUAGUCCGGAUCGCAGUCUGCAACUCGACUGCGUGAAGUCGGAAUCGCUAGUAAUCGCGAAUCAGAAUGUCGCGGUGAAUACGUUCCCGGGCCUUGUACACACCGCCCGUCACACCAUGGGAGUGGGUUGCUCCAGAAGUAGCUAGUCUAACCUUCGGGGGGACGGUUACCACGGAGUGAUUCAUGACUGGGGUGAAGUCGUAACAAGGUAGCCGUAGGGGAACCUGCGGCUGGAUCACCUCCUUAAU
rnacentral:rRNA from 1 species